GACAGAGGGUGCAAACGUUGUUCGGAAUUACUGGGCGUAAAGCGCGUGUAGGCGGCCUUGCAAGUCGGAUGUGAAAGCCCUCGGCUCAACCGGGGAAGUGCACUCGAAACUGCAAGGCUGGAGUCCCGGAGAGGAUAGUGGAAUUCUCGGUGUAGAGGUGAAAUUCGUAGAUAUCGAGAGGAACACCGGUGGCGAAGGCGGCUAUCUGGACGGUGACUGACGCUGAGACGCGAAAGCGUGGGGAGCAAACAGG
rnacentral:rRNA from 1 species